rnacentral:rRNA from 1 species
UAAAGCAUCCGUAGCCGGCUCUGUAAGUUUUCGGUUAAAUCCACGUGCUCAACGCAUGGGCUGCCGAAAAUACUGCACAGCUAGGGAGUGGGAGAGGUAGACGGUACUCAAUAGGAAGGGGUAAAAUCCUUUGAUCUAUUGAUGACCACCUGUGGCGAAGGCGGUCUACCAGAACACGUUCGACGGUGAGGGAUGAAAGCUGGGGGAGCAAACCGGAUUAGAUACCCGGGUAGUCCCAGCUGUAAACGAUGCAGACUCGAUGAUGCAUUGGCAUAUAGCCAGUGCAGUGUCGCAGGGAAGCCGUUAAGUCUGCCGCCUGGGAAGUACGUACGCAAGUAUGAAACUUAAAGGAAUUGGCGGGGGAGCACCACAAGGGGUGAAGCCUGCGGUUCAAUUGGAGUCAACGCCAGAAAUCUUACCCGGAGAGACAGCAGAAUGAAGGUCAAGCUGAAGACUUUACCAGACAAGCUGAGAGGUGGUGCAUGGCCGUCGCCAGCUCGUGCCGUGAGAUGUCCUGUUAAGUCAGGUAACGAGCGAGAUCCUCGCCACUAGUUGCUAUCAUUAUUCUCAGGAAUAGUGGGGCGAAUUAGUGGGACUGCCGUUGUUUGAACGGAGGAAGGAGGGGGCUACGGCAGGUCAGUAUGCCCCGAAACUCUGGGGCCACACGCGGGCUGCAAUGGUAGCGACAAUGAGCUCCAAACUCGAAAGAGAGUGGCAAUCUCUAAACGCUACCACAGUUAUGACUGAGGGCUGUAACUCGCCCUCACGAAUAUGGAAUCCCUAGUA